CAGCCGCCGCGGUAAUACGAAGGGUGCAAGCGUUACUCGGAAUUACUGGGCGUAAAGCGUGCGUAGGUGGUGGUUUAAGUCCGUUGUGAAAGCCCUGGGCUCAACCUGGGAAUUGCAGUGGAUACUGGAUCACUAGAGUGUGGUAGAGGAUAGUGGAAUUUCCGGUGUAGCAGUGAAAUGCGUAGAGAUCGGAAGGAACAUCUGUGGCGAAGGCGACUAUCUGGGCCAACACUGACACUGAGGCACGAAAGCGUGGGGAGCAAACAGGAUUAGAGACCCCUGUAGUCCCUGUCUCUUAUAC
rnacentral:rRNA from 1 species